rnacentral:tRNA from 1 species
GCGAAAGUGGCGGAAUGGUAGACGCACUGGAUUUAGGGUCCAGCAGGAUUUUAUCCUAUAAGAGUUCAAGUCUCUUCUUUCGCA